CUGCUGCCUCCCGUAGGAGUCUGGGCCGUAUCUCAGUCCCAAUGUGGCCGGUCAACCUCUCAGUCCGGCUACUGAUCGUCGCCUAGGUGGGCCGUUACCCCGCCUACUAGCUAAUCAGACGCGAGGCCAUCUUCCAGCGAUAAAUCUUUGAUAUCAAAACCAUGCGGUUUCGAUAUGUCAUGCGGUAUUAGCAGUCGUUUCCAACUGUUGUCCCCCUCUGGAAGGCAGGUUCCUCACGCGUUACUCACCA
rnacentral:rRNA from 1 species